AGCGGGCCAAGAGCUUUAUUUAGCUGCACUGAAAUCUCACAGACCUGGAGCAUGACUCUAAGCUGGUGUCCUUUUGCUGCCUAAGAGGACAAAAGCUCGUGAGUGGGCUUGGCCCCUCUGGGAAGACAGCCA
rnacentral:sRNA from 1 species